UGCAGUCGAGCGCGUGAAACUAACUGAUCCCUUCGGGGUGAUGUUAGUGGAUCGAGCGGCGGACGGGUGAGUAACACGUGGGCAACCUGCCCUGUAGAUCGGGAUAACUUCGGGAAACCGGAGCUAAUACCGGGUAAUAAAUGGAAUCGCAUGAUUCCAUUUUGAAAGUUGGGUUUACCCUAACACUACAGGAUGGGCCCGCGGCGCAUUAGCUAGUUGGUGAGGUAACGGCUCACCAAGGCAACGAUGCGUAGCCGACCUGAGAGGGUGAUCGGCCACACUGGGACUGAGACACGGCCCAGACUCCUACGGGAGGCAGCAGUAGGGAAUCUUCCGCAAUGGACGAAAGUCUGACGGAGCAACGCCGCGUGAGCGAUGAAGGCCUUCGGGUCGUAAAGCUCUGUUGUUAGGGAAGAACAAGUACCGUUCAAAUAGGGCGGUACCUUGACGGUACCUAACCAGAAAGCCACGGCUAACUACGUGCCAGCAGCCGCGGUAAUACGUAGGUGGCAAGCGUUGUCCGGAAUUAUUGGGCGUAAAGCGCGCGCAGGCGGUCUCUUAAGUCUGAUGUGAAAGCCCACGGCUCAACCGUGGAGGGUCAUUGGAAACUGGGGGACUUGAGUACAGAAGAGGAGAGUGGAAUUCCACGUGUAGCGGUGAAAUGCGUAGAGAUGUGGAGGAACACCAGUGGCGAAGGCGGCUCUCUGGUCUGUAACUGACGC
rnacentral:rRNA from 1 species